UGGGGAAUUUUGGACAAUGGGCGAAAGCCUGAUCCAGCAAUGCCGCGUGUGUGAGGAAGGCCUUCGGGUUGUAAAGCACUUUUGUCCGGAAAGAAAUCCUUGGCUCUAAUACAGUCGGGGGAUGACGGUACCGGAAGAAUAAGCACCGGCUAACUACGUGCCAGCAGCCGCGGUAAUACGUAGGGUGCAAGCGUUAAUCGGAAUUACUGGGCGUAAAGCGUGCGCAGGCGGUUUGCUAAGACCGAUGUGAAAUCCCCGGGCUCAACCUGGGAACUGCAUUGGUGACUGGCAGGCUAGAGUAUGGCAGAGGGGGGUAGAAUUCCACGUGUAGCAGUGAAAUGCGUAGAGAUGUGGAGGAAUACCGAUGGCGAAGGCAGCCCCCUGGGCCAAUACUGACGCUCAUGCACGAAAGCGUGGGGAGCAAACAGGAUUAGAUACCCUGGUAGUCCACGCCCUAAAACGAUGUCAACUAGUUGUUGGGGAUUCAUUUCCUUAGUAACGUAGCUAACGCGUGAAGUUGACCGCCUGGGGAGUACGGUCGCAAGAUUAAAACCCAAAGGAAUUGACGGGGUCAUAGCUGUUUCCU
rnacentral:rRNA from 1 species